GGGUCGAUUUUACUAUUAAAGAGUACUCUUUAAUAGUAAAUUCGAACAUAAGUGAUGCAUAUUGCCUGUGCAAUCAAGGUACUUUGCAUGUACAUCAGAAAUGUACAUUUCCAUUCAAACCACUUGUAUACAAGAAUGGAACCAGCUGAACAUGAGCCAGGUUAUCUAUUAUAUAUAUGAUCUACCCCUUUGAUUUAGUACUGUGUAAGGAAAUAUGCUAUUGGGUAUAUAUUUUAAAAAAAGAAUAACGAAGAACAACAAUUUUCAUUCAUAUUUUAUUCAACAUAUAUUUACACAGGUUGAUAACAAUGGCUGAUCUGCAUAUAAUGACUGCUAGUUGUUGGCUGGUAUGUGGUGAAAGGGAGCUAAAAAGGAGUAAAAAGUUCAUUUCAGCCAGGUAGUGUGGCUGAAAUAAACCAGUGUUAAGGAAUGUUCAGCAAUGACAUGACAUCAUGAGAGUUUUUCAUACAGACGUUCACAUGAUUAAUGAUGAAACUGAAGACCUCAAGUGAAAGGCAUGGGAAAUUAUCCAGUUCCAAUAUACCUGAAAAAGAGGAGGGAUGCCACAAUAUUGAUAAUAGAUUUUUGUCAAUUUGAGAAUCAAAGAUGUAAAAAAAAAAAAAAAAAAAAAAAAAAAAAAAAAAAAAAAUUGCAGAAAUCAUAAUUCAUGUAUUUAUUAAAAAUACUGUUCACUGCACAUACAUGUAUAUCUUUUAACUUAUUUGGAAAUACAUAAAGUAAUUCAUAUUAAAACUGAAUGUAUGAGUUUUCAUGACUUUUAUCAAUAAAGCUUACCAUAUUUAUUG